AGCGAACGCUGGCGGCAGGCCUAACACAUGCAAGUCGAACGAAGUCUUCGGACUUAGUGGCGGACGGGUGAGUAACACGUGGGAACGUACCUUUUGGUUCGGAACAACUCAGGGAAACUUGAGCUGAUACCGGAUGAGCCCUUAGGGGGAAAGAUUUAUCGCCGAAAGAGCGGCCCGCGUUAGAUUAGCUAGUUGGUGAGGUAAAGGCUCACCAAGGCUACGAUCUAUAGCUGGUCUGAGAGGAUGAUCAGCCAAACUGGGACUGGGACACGGCCCAGACUCCUACGUGAGGCAGCAGUGGGGAAUCUUGCGCAAUGGGCGAAAGCCUGACGCAGCCAUGCCGCGUGAAUGAUGAAGGUCUUAGGAUUGUAAAAUUCUUUUACCAGGGACGAUAAUGACGGUACCUGGAGAAAAAGCCCCGGCUAACUUCGUGCCAGCCGCCGCCGUAAUAC
rnacentral:rRNA from 1 species